UGCUCAGGCGGUUUAGUAAGUUAGAAGUGAAAUCCUAGGGCUUAACUCUGGAACUGCUUUUAAUACUGCUAAGCUUGAAUGUGGAAGAGGAUGAUGGAAUUUCUGGUGUAGCAGUGAAAUGCGUAGAUAUCAGAAAGAACACCAGUGGCGAAGGCGGUCAUCUGGUCCACUAUUGACGCUAAAGCACGAAAGCGUGGGGAGCAAACAGGAUUAGAUACCCUGGUAGUCCACGCCUUAAACGAUGAAUACUAGACGUUGGGGUCAAACUCAGUGUCGCAGCUAACGCAUUAAGUAUUCCACCUGGGGAGUACGAUCGCAAGGUUGAA
rnacentral:rRNA from 1 species